UCUGAGCUGUAAGAAGCUAUCGCUGCUUGUCUCAAGACCUGCCACUGCUGGGAGCAUAGCAGGCCCUUUUCAGUGAUCAACGUGUUGUCCAAAUUCCCCGUACUGGGAUUUUCCCGUUCUGGUGAUGUAGCUCAUCCCUUCACCUGGCUGGCUGGAAUGCAGACAGUGCCUGCACAACCUCCCAAGAUCUUGAAGCAGCAUCCAGUGGAAAUAGGGAGACACAUGCAGCUUGCUACAAUUGAUACGAAAAAUCGCUGAAUCUAAGCAUAAAUGUCGACAAUACAGUGUUUAUUAUUUGAAAGUUGGUUUUCUUCCAUCAAAGGCAGAGAAACGAUUGCUCAUAUGUCUUUUAUGCAACAAAGU